CGGCCUCAUAUCUUGACUUACAUCUAGAAAUUGACAAUGAGGGUCGGUUGAAAACAAAACUUUACGACAAAAGAGAUGAUUUCAGCUUUCCAAUUGUGAACUUUCCAUUUCUAAGUAGCAACAUUCCAGCAGCACCUGCAUACGGGGUAUAUAUCUCCCAAUUGAUGCGAUAUUCCCGUGCUUGCAUUUUCUAUCAUGAUUUUCUUGAUAGAGGGUUGCUGCUCACAAGGAAGCUAUUAAACCAAGAGUUCCAAAUGGUGAAGUUGAAAUCAUCCCUUCGUAAAUUUUACGGACGCCAUCACGAGUUGGUUGACCGUUAUGGAAUAACCGUUUCACAAAUGAUAUCGGAUAUGUUCCUUACGUCGUAACUACAAUCCCCUGACCUUUCAUGAAUGUGACAUACCGAAUUAGACUAUUUACCGGAUUUGUAAUCACAUAAGCAACACGACGGGUGCCACAUGUG
rnacentral:lncRNA from 1 species